rnacentral:rRNA from 1 species
UACGUAGGGUGCAAGCGUUGUCCGGAAUUAUUGGGCGUAAAGAGCUCGUAGGCGGUCUGUCGCGUCUGCUGUGAAAAUCAGGGCUCAACCCUGGACCUGCAGUGGGUACGGGCAGACUAGAGUGCGGUAGGGGAGAUCGGAAUUCCUGGUGUAGCGGUGAAAUGCGCAGAUAUCAGGAGGAACACCGAUGGCGAAGGCAGGUCUCUGGGCCGAUACUGACGCUGAGGAGCGAAAGCGUGGGGAGCGAACAGG